AUGUGUUUGAGAAUGAGUCAACUCUGUUGUGUGAGAGAGAGAGGGAGGGAAGGAGACAGAUGGAGAGAGAGGGAAGGAGACAGAUGGAGAGAGGGAGAGAGUGAAGGAGAAAGAUGGAGAGAGAGGGAAGGAGACAGAUGGAGAGAGGGAGAGAGGGAAGGAGACAGAUGGAGGGAGGGAAGGAGUCAGAUGGAGGGAGGGAAGGAGACAGAUGGAGAGAGAGAGGGAAGGAGACAGAUGGAGGGAGGGAAGGAGACAGAUAGAGGGAGAGGGAAGGAGACAGAUGGAGAGAGGGAGAGAGUGAAGGAGACAGAUGGAGGGAGGGAAGGAGACAGAUGGAGAGAGGGAGAGAGGGAAGGAGACAGAUGGAGGGAGGGAGAGAGGGAAGGAGACAGAUGGAGAGAGGGAGGGAGACAGAUGGAGGGAGGGAAGGAGUCAGAUGGAGGGAGGGAAGGAGACAGAUGGAGGGAGAGAGAGAGGGAAGGAGACAGAUGGAGGGAGGGAAGGAGACAGAUAGAGGGAGGGAAGGAGACAGAUGGAGGGAGAGAGAGAGGGAAGGAGACAGAUGGAGGGAGAGAGGGAAGGAGACAGAUGGAGGGAGGGAAGGAGACAGAUGGAGGGAGGGGAGGAGACAGAUGGAAGGAGACAGAUGGAGGGAGGGAAGGAGACAGAUGGAGGGAGGGAAGGAGACAGAUGGAAGGAGACAGAUGGAGGGAGAGAGGGAAGGAGACAGAUGGAGGGAGGGAAGGAGACAGAUGGAGGGAGAGAGGGAAGGAGACAGAUGGAGGGAGGGAAGGAGACAGAUGGAAGGAGACAGAUGGAGGGAGGGAAGGAGACAGAUGGAGGGAGGGAAGGAGACAGAUGGAGAGAGGGAAGGAGACAGAUGGAGGGAGGGAAGGAGACAGAUGGAGGGAGGGAAGGAGACAGAUGGAGGGAGGGAAGGAGACAGAUGGAGGGAGGGAAGGAGACAGAUGGAGGGAGGGGAGGAGACAGAUGGAGGGAGAGAGGGAAGGAGCCAGAUGGAGAGAGGGAAGGAGACAGAUAGAGGGAGAGAGGGAAGGAGACAGAUGGAGAGAGAGAGGGAGACAGAUGGAGAGAGGGAAGGAGACAGAUGGAGAGAGGGAAGGAGACAGAUGGAGGGAGAGAAGGAGAGAAAUAGAGAGAGGGAGGGAGAGAGAGGGAGGGAGGGAGAGAGAGGGAGGGUAA
rnacentral:lncRNA from 1 species